rnacentral:rRNA from 1 species
CGAACGGGUGAGUAACGCGUGAGGAACCUGCCUCGAAGAGGGGGGAAACAGUUGGAAACGACUGCUAAUACCGCAUAAGCCCACGGGUCGGCAUCGACCUGAGGGAAAAGGAGCAAUCCGCUUUGAGAUGGCCUCGCGUCCGAUUAGCUAGUUGGUGAGGUAAUGGCCCACCAAGGCGACGAUCGGUAGCCGGACUGAGAGGUUGAACGGCCACAUUGGGACUGAGACACGGCCCAG